rnacentral:rRNA from 1 species
CUCGGGAAGUAAAAAGUCGUAACAAGGUUUCGUUUGGUGACUGCGGAGGACAUUACUGAUUUUUGAAGGGGUUGUAGCUGGCCUUUCGAGGCAAUGUGCACGCCCUGCUCAAUCCACUCUACACCUGUGCACUUACUGUAGGUUUUCGGACGUGGAAACGGGCUCUCUUACGGGGCUUUCGUGGAAGUGUCCGGGCCUAUGUGUUAUCACAAACUCCUGCAAGUAUUAGAAUGUGCAUUGCGAUGUAACGCAUCUAUAUACAACUUUCAGCAACGGAUCUCUUGGCUCUCGCAUCGAUGAAGAACGCAGCGAAAUGCGAUAAGUAAUGUGAAUUGCAGAAUUCAGUGAAUCAUCGAAUCUUUGAACGCACCUUGCGCUCCUUGGUAUUCCGAGGAGCACGCCUGUUUGAGUGUCAUGAAAUUCUCAACCUGUAGACCCUUUUUUUGGGCCUUCUAGGAUUGGAGUUGGAGGCUUGUCGGCUUUUAUGGUCGGCUCCUCUUAAACGCAUUAGCUUGAUUCCUUGCGGAUCGGCCCUCGGUGUGAUAAUUUGUCUACGCCACGACCGUGAAGCGCUUUGGCGAGCUUCUAACUGUCUCUUAUGGGAGACAGCUUCUUGACAUUCUGACCUCAAAUCAGGUGGGACUACCCGCUGAACUUAAGCAUAUCAAUAAGCCCGGAGAGAA